UUCUCUCUCUUCCCACUGCCUGGAUCUAACUAGCUUCCAAGACCUGCCAUCCUAUUCCUCAAACAUCUCCUGAUUCUGUUCUUUCUCAUUCUCUUCUAUCAUUGCCUUAGUGCAACCCCUCAUUCCCUCCACUUGUUCUUUCUGGCUCAGGUCUUUAGAUCUGGCAUCCAGAUAAAUCAUUUAAAAUGCAAAUCUGGUCAGGUCACUCCCUAUCCUGAAAUGCUUCAGUGGCCUCUCAUAACCGUAAGGAUAAAGUCCGAGGUACUUAGUAAGGUCUGCCAUGAUGAACUCAAAGUGAUGAUAAUAUCAAACCUCUUUCAGUGCUUAUGUACGUCAUAGUGUGACACAUCUCUGUGCCUUUGCUAUUGCUGCUACUCCUACUCUUUACUUGGACAAUGUAUUCUUUUGAGUCUCACAGCUCAACUAAUUGUGUGUGAAUGUGUGUGUACAUAAACAUUUUUAUAACAGUGCCUGGCAUAUAGUUAGCACAGUAUGUGUUAGCUAUUAUUAUUCCAGGAAACCCUCUUGGACAAAUUAGGCUGAAUAGCCUUCUUUCAUGUCACCAUAGCACACUGUGCAUAUUUUAGCUUACCACAUUACCAUGAAGAGGUGUCUUCCUCUGUAUGCCUCCACAGCUAGAGUGCAAGCUCCUUGAGGCAGGGACCAUGUCUUACUCAUCUUUUCAAUCUAGUGCCAAAGGGGUAUAGUGUCCUGUGCAUCAUAUGCAUUCAAAAACUCUUUGUGUAUUCAACUGAUCCCCAGCAUACCUUCCAAUCAUUUUUAGUCCUAGAAGGAUUUCUUUUUUUUUUUUUUUUUGAAAUGGAGUCUCGCUCUGUCGUCCAGGCUGGAGUGCAGUGGCAAGAUCUCGGCUCACUGCAAGCUCCGCCUCCCAGGUUCACACCAUUCUCCUGCCUCAGCCUCCCGAGUAGCUGGGACUACAGGUGCCCGCCACCACCUCUGGCUUACUUUUUGUAUUUUUAGUAGAGACAGUGUUUCACUGUGGUCUCAAUCUCCUGACCUCGUGAUCCGCCCACCUCGGCCUUCCAAAGUGCUGGGAUUACAGGCGUGAGCCACCGUGCCAGGCGAGGGGUUUCUUAAAAAGCAUUUUCAUCAGAUGAGACCCCAGCCCUGAGGGGAGAAGGAGAAAGAAGGAGAAAGAAGGAGAAAGAAAGAGUGUUUUCAGCCACCACCUGAGGCCACCAUGUUCUUCCUGUCUUACACAUCUAGUACAUACCCCCUUAGGCUUCCCAUAAACCCUGUCUUUCCUGUGGACAAUUUCUUCAAUCAUUAGUGGUGUGCUUCUUCUUUCUUUUUUUUUUUUUUUUUUGUUUGAGACGGAGUCCCACUCUGUCGCCCAGGCUGGAGUGCAGUGGCGCAAUCUCAGCUCACCGCAACCUCAAUCUCCCAGGUUCAAGCAAUUCUCCUGCCUCAGCCUCCCAAGUAGCUGGGAUUACAAGCAUGUGCCACCACGCCCGGCUAUCAUUAGUGGUGUGUUUCUCCAAUGAUGUCCCUAAAUCUUCUUCCCUGGGGUCUGCACCUCCCUUGAACCUCCCCAUUCUACACCUAGUGCAUGCUUUUCCAGGGUAAUUCCAAAGGCAUCUGGGGGUCUGGGCUGGUGGUAGAAAUCCUAGAUGUCAUGGCUGGAUCUUUCCUGGAAGUUUGGGUUGGGACAGGUUAUUAAAGAGGCCACUCUGAAUGUAUAAAUCUAAUUAAAAAUUUACGUGAUUGGUGGGCAUUUUUUCCAACCUAAUAAAGUCCCUUUCCAUCUCCCAGCUCUUUGUAUUUUAAAAGCCAGGUCACUAGACUUGAUAAUUCUAGAGAGAGCUGACUGAAAAGAGUUGGUUUGAUUAGAAAUAGAGGUUCAACACUUUUACACUGUUGGUGGGAAUGUAAAUUAGCUCAACCAUUGUGGAAGACAAUGUGGUGUUUCCUCAAAGACCUAAAACCAGAAAUACCAUUUGACCCAGCAAUCCCAUUACUGGGUAUAUACCCAAAGGAAUAUAAAUCAUUUUAUUACAAAGAUACAUGCACGAAUAUGUUCAUUGCAGUACUAUUCACAAUAGCGAAGACAUAGAAUCAACCCAAAUGCCCAUCAAUGAUAGACUGGAUUAAAAAAAUGUGGUACAUAUACACCAUGGAAUACUACACAGCCAUAAAAAGGAACGAGAUAAUGUCCUUUGCAGGGACAUGGAUGGAACUGGAAGCCAUUAUCUUCAGCAAACUAACACAAACAGAAAACCAAAUAGUGCAUGCUCUCACUUAUAACUAGGAGCUGAACAAUGAGAACACAUGGGCACAGGGUGGGGAACAACACACACUGGGGCCUGUAGGGGGAGGAGCUGGGGAGAGGGAGAGCAUUGGGAAGAAUAGCUUAAUAGAUGCAAGGCUUAAUGGGUUGAUAGGUGUAGCAAACCACCAUGGCACACAUUUACCUAUGUAACAAAACUGCACAUCCUGCAAAUGUACCCUGGAACAAAAUAAAAUAAAAUAAGAAAUAGAGGUUUGAGUCUUUCCUGGUAAGCAUAUUUAUGCUCUACCACAGACGGUUCAGCCUUGGGGCAAGACAAUCUUUCUCCUAAUUUUUAUAGUUUUGAACAUUCUAAAGUUUUUGUUGUCGUUGUUGUUGUUUUCCCUGAGGACAGAGGCAACUUUGGGGAAGUACUUUGUCAGGUAGGAUGGAAUUUGGGGCCUUUAGUUUUCCUUCCAAGAGCCCAUAGGAAGUUUUGGGUGCCUUCUCAAUGCUGGCAUGAGAAAAUAUAAAGCAGAUGGACAGUGAACUUUGGUAUAUUCACUCCUUAUGAAUGUUAUGUGGAAAAGUGGAAAAACAUUAGCUGUUUGUGCUAAGUUUACAGUUGGUUUGCUGUAUUUUGUGCAUGUGGACAAAAAUGGGGGAAAAAUGAAAGCUGUGUUAGGAUAAUGGAUAUACGGCUGAAUUUUCCAGGAAUUUCUAUAAUAACACCAAAUCGAAUGUUUUAACGCCCACCGUGAACAAAGAAGACCGGAACCCUCGCGACUCGUUUUGACGUUUUCUGGUCGGCGGUAAAAGCUCGGUUCCCGGCCCUCCCGGAAGUUGUUGCACAGUUGUUUCCGGGAAGCGGGACUCCAAAUGGGUCGCAGUCGCAGCCGCUCUCCACGGAGGGAACGUAGGCGUUCCCGGUCCACGUCCCGGGAGAGAGAACGCAGGCGCCGAGAAAGGUCCAGGUCUCGGGAGAGAGAUCGGAGAAGGAGCCGCUCGCGAUCCCCGCACCGAAGACGCUCCCGAUCUCCAAGACGACAUAGAUCCACAUCUCCUUCUCCUUCUCGACUGAAAGAAAGAAGAGAUGAGGAAAAGAAAGAAACAAAAGAAACAAAGAGCAAAGAACGGCAGAUUACUGAGGAAGACUUAGAGGGCAAAACAGAGGAAGAAAUAGAAAUGAUGAAGUUAAUGGGAUUUGCCUCCUUUGACUCCACAAAAGGUAAGAAGGUGGAUGGCUCUGUAAAUGCCUAUGCCAUAAAUGUCUCUCAGAAGAGGAAGUACAGGCAGUACAUGAAUCGAAAAGGUGGAUUCAACAGACCUUUGGAUUUCAUUGCAUGAGAGUUGAAGUGUUGAAGGAUGAUUUUUUUUCCCCUCAUCUUGGUCAGAGAGUGGAUUUUGUAUUUUGUAUUUAACUUGCAUUCAAAAAACAGGAUCUCAGUUCUCCUUUCUUGUAAAGAAAUAUCAUUUGUGGCAGGCGUCAACCCCAUUUUAUUUGUCCUUAUUCCUGUGGAAGCAGUAUAUGUUUUCUUCUUGAAUGCUCAUUAGGACUUCUUAAAAAACAUGAAAGUAAUUUGGAAGUAAGUUUAUCCAAUAAAGCAGUAUUUCUACCCUUUUAGAUUUGAUAAAUAUUUUUAUUACCAAAGAAUCUCCCUAGACAUUUUCUUUUUUUUCAUGCAUAGAUUUAAGUAUCUUGAUUGUUAGUAGUCUAAAAAUGGGAAGAAUGAAAAAGCAUAACUAGAUUUUUCUAUCUUCUGUGGUCGCCCCCCCCACAAAAAAAUACCAUUUAUGGUUCUCUCCACAAGUAUAAAAGCAUUACAUGCAAAAAAAAGAUCUCAGAGAAACCAAAAAGUAAAAGAAAAGCAGAAAAUCACCUGUUAUCUACUCGCAGAAAUAAUCAAUUUCAACAUUUUGGUAUAUGUCUUUCCAGGCUUCUUUGGGUUGAUCCCACCUAUGAGAUCAGAGUAUGUAUGCAGUUCUUUCUUUAACCCUUUUUUCUCCCAUGUACUGUGAACAUUUAAAAAGUACUUUUAAAUAUUCUUUGGAAACUUAGCUUUUAGUAGCUACUUGGUUGUAUCAUAAUUUAUUAACUAAUGUUUUAUUGGUAAACAUUGGCUUGCCUCCCAUGACUUGUCAUUAUAAUUAAAACUGUGACUACUAUCUGUCUCCAUUACAUACA